UCGGGGUGAGCGGCGGACGGGUUAGUAACGCGUGGGAACGUACCCUUUUCUGCGGAAUAGCCUCUGGAAACGGAGAGUAAUACCGCAUACGCCCUUCGGGGGAAAGAUUUAUCGGAGAAGGAUCGGCCCGCGUUAGAUUAGAUAGUUGGUGGGGUAACGGCUUACCAAGUCUACGAUCUAUAGCUGGUUUUAGAGGAUGAUCAGCAACACUGGGACUGAGACACGGCCCAGACUCCUACGGGAGGCAGCAGUGGGGAAUCUUGGACAAUGGGCGCAAGCCUGAUCCAGCCAUGCCGCGUGAGUGAAGAAGGCCUUAGGGUCGUAAAGCUCUUUCGCCUGUGAUGAUAAUGACAGUAGCAGGUAAAGAAACCCCGGCUAACUCCGUG
rnacentral:rRNA from 1 species